UACGUAGGGGGCAAGCGUUAUCCGGAUUUACUGGGUGUAAAGGGAGCGCAGACGGCGAUGCAAGUCUGAAGUGAAAUUCCACGGCUUAACUGUGGAACUGCUUUGGAAACUGUAUUGCUAGAGUGCUGGAGAGGUAAGCGGAAUUCCCAGUGUAGCGGUGAAAUGCGUAGAUAUUGGGAAGAACACCGGUGGCGAAGGCGGCUUACUGGACAGUAACUGACGUUCAUGCUCGAAGGCGUGGGGAGCAAAC
rnacentral:rRNA from 1 species